UACAGAGGGUGCGAGCGUUAAUCGGAAUUACUGGGCGUAAAGCGCACGUAGGUGGCGACGUAAGUCGGGUGUGAAAGCCCCGGGCUCACCUGGGAAUUGCAUUCGAGACUGCAUUGCUGGAGUACGGAAGAGGAAGGCGGAAUUCCCGGUGUAGCGGUGAAAUGCGUAGAUAUCGGGAGGAACAUCAGUGGCGGAAGGCGGCCUUCUGGUCCAGUACUGACACUCAAGUGCGAAAGCGUGGGGAGCAAACAGG
rnacentral:rRNA from 1 species